rnacentral:rRNA from 1 species
ACCGGUGAGGUGGAAACGGAUAGAGUCAGCGUAUCCGACUUGUAUUCAGCUGCGUGGUGUAACGGCCUCCGGUGCUGGCGUCUCCAGAUUGGGAACAGCGCUGGUCGGCCGAGAGCUGUGCUGUGCAUUUGCAAGUGGAGUGCGUCGAGAUUCAUGUGGUGGCGUCACAAACUUUGUUUUGAGGCCAGCUUGCUGGUACCCGAACUGGGCUAGUGAUGUUCACGCAUAUGUGUGUUUGGGGGAAAGGCUUACCGGGACCAGGUGGGGCCCAAUCAAAGGGCCGGGGGGGGCCCCUUGGGACCCGGGCUGCCCAUUUUGUUCGGCCCACUUGGGCUUCCUUGUCUCCCCCUCCUCGAAGAAAAUGGUGCUCUUUUCUCCCCCCCUUUUAAAACCGCCCACCGAGGAUUUUAUGUGGGGC